GGUGCCUGACUACAUAAUGAACUUUCUAGCUGUGUUGAUGACAACAAGAAGAAAAGCUUCUUUGACCAGGUUUGCUGACUUAAUUCAAGCUAUCCUGGUGGACUGACAUCAUACAUCCAGAAUGCCAAAAGGCUUUUGGUAGAUUGCAAGGCAGGAUAAAAUCCAUACGAUGGUUCCACGCCUUCAAGAACUCGGCAUUCAGACCUCGCUGGCGCUGGGCUAGAUGGGCUUGCUGGUAUUUUAUAGUCUGGUC